rnacentral:rRNA from 1 species
AACGAACGCUGGCGGCAGGCCUAACACAUGCAAGUCGAACGGUCUUCUUCGGAAGUCAGUGGCAGACGGGUGAGUAACACGGGGGAACGUGCCCUUCGGUUCGGAAUCACUCAGGGAAACUUGAGCUAAUACCGGAAACGCUCUUUACGGCAAAGGUUUACUGUCGAAGGAUCGGCCCGCGUGUGAUUCGAUUGUUGGAGGGGUAACGGCCUACCAAGGCGACGAUCAGUAGCUGGUGUGAGAGGAUGAUCAGCCACACUGGGACUGAGACACGGACCAGACUCUUACGGGAGGCAGCAGGGGGGAAUAUUGGACAAUGGGCGAAAGCCUGAUCCAGCCAGGCCGCGUGAGUGAUGAAGGCCUUAGGGUUGUAAAGCUCUUUUGUCCGGGACGAUAAUGACGGUACCGGAAGAAUAAGCCCCGGCUAACUUCGUG